GGGCCCGUAGCUCAGCCUGGUUAGAGCGCACGGCUGAUAACCGUGAGGUCGGGGGUCCGAAUCCCCCCGGGCCCA
rnacentral:tRNA from 1 species